GGGCCCGCACAAGCGGUGGAGCAUGUGGUUUAAUUCGAUGAUACGCGAGGAACCUUACCAGGGCUUAAAUGGGAGAUGACAGGGGCAGAGACGCCCUUUUCUUCGGACAUCUUUCAAGGUGCUGCAUGGUUGUCGUCAGCUCGUGCCGUGAGGUGUCAGGUUAAGUCCUAUAACGAGCGCAACCCCUACCGUUAGUUGCCAGCGAUUCAAGUCGGGGACUCUAACGGGACUGCCGGUGCAAACCGUGAGGAAGGUGGGGACGACGUCAAAUCAUCACGGCCCUUACGUCCUGGGCUACACACGUGCUACAAUGGUCGGUACAGAGGGAAGCUACCCCGUAAGGGGAUGCGGAUCUAUAAAACCGUUCGUAGUCCGGAUUGGAGUCUGCAACUCGACUCCAUGAAGUCGGAAUCGCUAGUAAUCG
rnacentral:rRNA from 1 species